GGUUCUUUCAAUGCGGUAUGCAGGGAUGCUUCGGGGCUUUAUCUGGGUUCAUCAGCUAUCAGAAUACAUGGCAUCACUGAUCCACCAACGCUGGAAGCCCUUGCAUGUCGUGAAGCGCUUGCUCUUGCUUCGGACCUAGCAUUAUCACAUGUGAUCAUCGCCUCUGAUUAACAAGGAGUUGUCAUGGACAUAAAUAAGUAGGUGGGAGGAAUGUACGGAAGCAUUGUGAAGGAAACUGUAGAGACUGCAAGAACCAUCGAUGACUGCACCUUCAUCCUCGAGGGUAGAGCUACAAAUCUUGAGGCACAUAGCCUCGCUAAGCACGCCUUCGGUCUGGAUUUUGGGCGCCAUGUGUGGCUGUUAAACCCUCCAGAUCUUUGA
rnacentral:rRNA from 1 species